rnacentral:lncRNA from 1 species
UUUAAUUUCUCUUCAUUCAUCAUGUGUUAUAAUUUUAUAAAGUAUUGAGCUUUUGAUUCAUGAUAUUGAACUUAAUUUUAAUUUUAUAAAGUGUUCACAUUUUGAUUAAUGAUAUAUUAAACUUAAUUUUAAUUUGUUUUUUUUCUUAAGAUAAUUAUGUCAGGUGUUUUAGAAUCAAAUGUUUCUUCCCAAACUUCUCAAGGAACCAAAAGGAAAUAGGUUCCAGAAGAAGAUGCAGCGUUGGUUUACUGUAUGGUGGACUUGCACAAUGUUAGAACCUUUAAUGAUGAUAUAAGGUUCAAAGCCGGUUAUUUAAACGAGUUGGAAAAAAUGUUAGAAAAAGUUUUACCCAAUGCAAUAUUGAAGGCUAGACCUAAUAUUGAAUCGAGGAUUAGGAUACUGAAAAGGGAUUGAUCAAUCGUGUAUGACAUGCUUAAUGGUCAAAACAAUAGCGGUUUUGGUUGGGAUGAGCAUAGACAGCUCGUUGUUGCUGAAGAUGCGGUUUGGAACUCUUAUUUAAAUGUAAGAAUUAUUUCAAGUCUUUAUUAUCUUAUUUUGGCCAAACUUAUAACUGAUAUGAAUUCCUCAUUUUUAUAAAGUCAUAAAGAAGCUGGUCAAUUCAGACAUCGUAGUUUCCCUUACUAUGACCAACUUACUGUCAUCUACGCAAAAGAUCGAGCGACUGGGAAAGAUGCUCAAACAGCCGCUGAUGUUAUUAAAGAAAUAAAUGUUCAAGAUGUAGCUACUACAGAUAUUAAUGAAGAAAGAAACGAAUUCUAUGACUGCGAAGCUAAUGUCUCUUUGGAUGACAUCAAUGUUUCUGCUACAGAACCGCAACCAGAUAGUCACUAAAGGGGUUCCACAUCUUCAAAGAAGAAGAAAAAAUUCUGAUGCAAAUGAUCAUAUUUCUUUUUCAUUUCAUGAUGCUGCCACUUUAUUGGCAAAAAACAUGCGGGCCGUUGGCGAACAAAUCAGUAGGAGUAUUGCCUCCGAUGUGGUAGUUCAACAAAAGUCAGAAGAAUUCCAAAUCAUCCAAGAAAAGCUAUAAAUUUAUAUCCAACCUUAUGUGAAAUAGAAGGUUUAAUUGUGGAUGAGCGCUAUCGAGUAUUGAGCAAAAUUCCAGAUCAUCCAACGCAAAUGCUCAUUUUGUUUAAUUUACCUUCUGAUGUGCGAUUGGAAUGAGUCAGAAAAUUUAUUGCUGACCAUUAAAAAUCAUGGUUCUGUUGAUGAUAUUUUGAUAACUUUUUCUGUUUGUAAUAUUUGGGAUGGUAUGUCAUUACAAUGUUCUAACUUUUUGAUGUUGUAAAACUGUAUAACAUAUGAAUUAUGAUAUAAAAUUUCAUGAAUUUCAUGUAAUUUUCUGUUAACAUAUGAAUAUUAUGUUUAU